GAUGAACACUAGCGGCAGGCUUAAUACAUGCAAGUCGAGGGGCAGCAGGUCUGUAGCAAUACAGACGCUGGCGACCGGCAAACGGGUGCGGAACACGUACAGAACCUUCCUUCGAGCGGGGAAUAGCCCAGAGAAAAUUGGAUUAAUACCCCAUAGUAUAUUGAAGAGGCAUCUCUUUAAUAUUAAAGAUUUAUCACUUGAAGAUGGCUGUGCGGCUGAUUAGUUAGUUGGCGGGGUAACGGCCCACCAAGCCGGCGAUCAGUAACUGGUGGGAGAGCACCACAAUUACAAGGGGGACUGAGAGACAGGCCCGAGUCCUAAGGGAGGCAGCAGUGAAGAAUGUUGGUCAAUGGACGCAAGUCUGAUCCAGCCAUGCCACGUGGAGGAUGGAGGUCCUCUGGAUUGUAAACUUCUUUUAUCUGGGAAGAAAAAGGGUCUUUCUAGAUCAACUGACGGUACCAGAUGAAUAAGCACCGGCUAACUCCGUGCCAGCCGCCGCCGUAA
rnacentral:rRNA from 1 species